rnacentral:rRNA from 1 species
AGUUUGAUCAUGGCUCAGAUUGAACGCUGGCGGCAGGCUUAACACAUGCAAGUCGAGCGGGGAAAAGUAGCUUGCUACUUUACCUAGCGGCGGACGGGUGAGUAAUGCUUAGGAAUCUGCCUAUUAGUGGGGGACAACAUCUCGAAAGGGAUGCUAAUACCGCAUACGUCCUACGGGAGAAAGCAGGGGACCUUCGGGCCUUGCGCUAAUAGAUGAGCCUAAGUCGGAUUAGCUAGUUGGUGGGGUAAAGGCCUACCAAGGCGACGAUCUGUAGCGGGUCUGAGAGGAUGAUCCGCCACACUGGGACUGAGACACGGCCCAGACUCCUACGGGAGGCAGCAGUGGGGAAUAUUGGACAAUGGGGGGAACCCUGAUCCAGCCAUGCCGCGUGUGUGAAGAAGGCCUUUUGGUUGUAAAGCACUUUAAGCGAGGAGGAGGCUACCGAGAUUAAUACUCUUGGAUAGUGGACGUUACUCGCAGAAUAAGCACCGGCUAACUCUGUGCCAGCAGCCGCGGUAAUACAGAGGGUGCAAGCGUUAAUCGGAUUUACUGGGCGUAAAGCGCGCGUAGGUGGCCAAUUAAGUCAAAUGUGAAAUCCCCGAGCUUAACUUGGGAAUUGCAUUCGAUACUGGUUGGCUAGAGUAUGGGAGAGGAUGGUAGAAUUCCAGGUGUAGCGGUGAAAUGCGUAGAGAUCUGGAGGAAUACCGAUGGCGAAGGCAGCCAUCUGGCCUAAUACUGACACUGAGGUGCGAAAGCAUGGGGAGCAAACAGGAUUAGAUACCCUGGUAGU